UAGCUUUUUCUUUCAGGGUUGUUCAAUAAUCAUAACAGCUGUUGCUUUUCUUCUUUGCCUUUCAUAUUCAAGUGCAUCACCGGUUUCUGACAGGAUCUCUGCCAACCUUGAAGUGCAUAGGCGCAUAGCCAGAGGCUUUCCUGGAUUAAAGCUUUGCGGCGGAGGAAUGCCAACUAAUUGCUGGGCCCAUGAGUGGAAAUAUCGAUGCUCCUUUGAUAACUACUGG